UACGAAGGGGGCUAGCGUUGCUCGGAAUUACUGGGCGUAAAGCGCACGUAGGCGGCUUUCUAAGUCGGGGGUGAAAUCCUGGAGCUCAACUCCAGAACUGCCUUCGAUACUGGAGAGCUUGAGUUCGGGAGAGGUGAGUGGAACUGCGAGUGUAGAGGUGAAAUUCGUAGAUAUUCGCAAGAACACCAGUGGCGAAGGCGGCUCACUGGCCCGGAUACUGACGCUGAGGUGCGAAAGCGUGGGGAGCAAAACAGGAUUGAGAACGUACCCGUCGUAAGAUCCAA
rnacentral:rRNA from 1 species